rnacentral:tRNA from 1 species
AUUUGGAUAGCUUAAAUUUAAAGCUUAAUAUUGAAGCUAUUAAGAUAAGAUGUUUCUUUCCAAGUA